rnacentral:rRNA from 1 species
AUUAGAGUUUGAUCCUGGCUCAGAUUGAAGCUGGCGGCAUGCCUUACACAUGCAAGUCGAACGGCAGCACGGAGCUUGCUCUGGUGGCGAGUGGCGAACGGUGAGUAAUAUAUCGGAACGUACCCUAGAGUGGGGGAUAACGUAGCGAAAGUUACGCUAAUACCGCAUACGAUCUAAGGAUGAAAGUGGGGGAUCGCAAGACCUCAUGCUCGUUGGAGCGGCCGAUAUCUGAUUAGCUAGUUGGUAGGGUAAAAGCCUACCAAGGCAUCGAUCAGUAGCUGGUCUGAGAGGACGACCAGCCACACUGGAACUGAGACACGGUCCAGACUCCUACGGGAGGCAGCAGUGGGGAAUUUUGGACAAUGGGCGAAAGCCUGAUCCAGCAAUGCCGCGUGAGUGAAGAAGGCCUUCGGGUUGUAAAGACUCUUUUGUCAGGGAAGAAACGGUGAGAGCUAAUAUCUC